ensembl:ncRNA K09F5.7 ncRNA
GCUCACGUGUCAAUUUCCAAACUCAUUCAACCUUCUUGAUUUUGAAUUUCUCUUUUUUCAACUCCAAAUCCCUACCACAUUCACUCACAUAUAAAAUGCAAUGAGGCGGAUAUCAAUACUCGUAUUCGUGUUAUAUUUCAAUAAUACCG